rnacentral:rRNA from 1 species
GACGAACGCUGGCGGCGUGCCUAAUACAUGCAAGUCGAGCGGACUGAAUGGGAGCUUGCUCUUGUUCGGUCAGCGGCGGACGGGUGAGUAACACGUGGGCAACCUGCCCGCAAGACCGGGAUAACUACGGGAAACCGGAGCUAAUACCGGAUAACACCGAAGACCGCAUGGUCUUUGGGUGAAAGGCGGCGCAUGCUGCCACUUGCGGCUGGGCCCGCGGCGCAUUAGCUAGUUGGUGAGGGAACGGCCCACCAAGGCGGCGAUGCGUAGCCGGCCUGAGAGGGCACGCGGCCACACUGGGCCUGGGACACGGCCCAGACCCCUACGGGAGGCAGCCGUAGGGGAUCUCCCGCAAUGGGCGCAAGCCUGACGGAGCGACGCCGCGUGAGCGCAGAAGGCCUUCGGGUCGUAAAGCUCUGUUGUGAGGGACGAAUGAGAGCCGUUUGAAGACGGCGGCGCGGUGACGGUACCUCACGAGGAAGCCCCGGCUAACUACGUG